rnacentral:rRNA from 1 species
GAUGAACGCUGGCGGCGUGCCUAAUACAUGCAAGUCGAGCGAAUGGAUUAAGAGCUUGCUCUUAUGAAGUUAGCGGCGGACGGGUGAGUAACACGUGGGUAACCUGCCCAUAAGACUGGGAUAACUCCGGGAAACCGGGGCUAAUACCGGAUAACAUUUUGAAACGCAUGGGUCGAAAUUGAAAGGCGGCUUCGGCUGUCACUUAUGGAUGGACCCGGGUCGCAUUAGCUAGUUGGUGAGGUAACGGCUCACCAAGGCAACGAUGCGUAGCCGACCUGAGAGGGUGAUCGGCCACACUGGGACUGAGACACGGCCCAGACUCCUACGGGAGGCAGCAGUAGGGAAUCUUCCGCAAUGGACGAAAGUCUGACGGAGCAACGCCACGUGAGUGAUGAAGGCUUUCGGGUCGUAAAACUCUAUUGUUAGGGAAGAACAAGUGCUAGUUGAAUAAGCUGGCACCUUGACGGUACCUAACCAGAAAGCCACGGCUAACUACGUGCCAGCAGCCGCCGUAA